AGCCCUGUGGUGUAAUUGGCAACAUAACGCCCUUUGAAGGCGAUGAUUCCAGGUUCGAGUCCUGGUGGGGCUG
rnacentral:tRNA from 2 species